rnacentral:tRNA from 1 species
AUUCAUUUAGUAUAUAAUAGUACAUUUGACUUCCAAUCAAAAAGCUUGAAGUUCAAAAUGAAUA